GGUUGCUUAGGUGUUUAAAGACACCUGUUUGAUUUAAACGUGUGCUUUUACACUGGUUUCUGACAGUGUAUUUAGGAGUGGUUUGCUAGGGUUUUAGGACAUCUGUUUUAACUUGUGCUUCUUGAAAAAAAUACAAUGCGUUCCUUUAAAGGAUUGGGUUUGUCAUAUGCUUAGACACCUGUUUCUGAUAAAACGUAUAUAGGAGGGGGUUCACACAGGUGUU
rnacentral:lncRNA from 1 species